CGAGUCUUAACUGGGCGUUAAGUUGCAGGGUAUAGACCCGAAACCCGGUGAUCUAGCCAUGGGCAGGUUGAAGGUUGGGUAACACUAACUGGAGGACCGAACCGACUAAUGUUGAAAAAUUAGCGGAUGACCUGUGGCUGGGGGUGAAAGGCCAAUCAAACCGGGAGAUAGCUGGUUCUCCCCGAAAGCUAUUUAGGUAGCGCCUCGUGAACUCAUCUUCGGGGGUAGAGCACUGUUUCGGCUAGGGGGUCAUCCCGACUUACCAACCCGAUGCAAACUGCGAAUACCGAAGAAUGUUAUCACGGGAGACACACGGCGGGUGCUAACGUCCGUCGUGAAGAGGGAAACAACCCAGACCGCCAGCUAAGGUCCCAAAGUCAUGGUUAAGUGGGAAACGAUGUGGGAAGGCCCAGACAGCCAGGAUGUUGGCUUAGAAGCAGCCAUCAUUUAAAGAAAGCGUAAUAGCUCACUGGUCGAGUCGGCCUGCGCGGAAGAUGUAACGGGGCUAAACCAU
rnacentral:rRNA from 1 species